rfam:Haemonchus placei strain MHpl1 genome assembly, scaffold: HPLM_scaffold0002459
GGCUCAACUUUGAAGUAGAGCAGAUUAGAAGGAUUAUCUGAUCCUACUGAACUAUUCUACUUCGACUUUGUGCCG